UACGAAGGGUGCAAGCGUUACUCGGAAUUACUGGGCGUAAAGGGCGCGUAGGCGGCGGGCCAAGUCGAGUGUGAAAGCCCCGGGCUCAACCUGGGAGGUGCGCUCGAGACUGGUUUGCUGGAGUUCGGGAGAGGAGCGUGGAAUUCCCAGUGUAGAGGUGAAAUUCGUAGAUAUUGGGAAGAACACCGGUGGCGAAGGCGGCGCUCUGGACCGAGACUGACGCUGAGGCGCGAAGGUGUGGGGAGCAAACAGG
rnacentral:rRNA from 1 species